GAGGGAGUCCUGGACUAGGGGGUGUCCGGACAGCCGGAUUAUCAAUAUCCGCCGGACUCCCAGACUACGAAGAUAGAAGAUUGAAGACUCCGGCUCAUGUCCGGAAGGUACUUUACUUGGCGUGGAAGGCAAGCUUGGCAAUACGGAUAUGUAGAUCUCCUACCAUCGUAACUGACUCUGUGUAACCCUAGCCUCUCCGGUGUAUAUAUAAAUCGGAGGGCCUUAGUCCGUAGGACGCAACAUUACAUCUCAACAAUCAUACCAUAGGCUAGCUUCUAGGGUUUAGCCUCAUUGAUCUCGUGGUAGAUCUACUCUUGUACUACCCAUAUCAUCAAUAUUAAUCAAGCAGGACAUAGGGUAUUACCUCCAUCGAGAGGGCCUGAACCUGGGUAAAAACAUUGUGUCCCUCGUCUCAUGUUACCAUCCGCCUAGACGCACAGUUCGGGGCCCCCUACCCGAGAUCCGCCGGUUUUGACACCGACAUUGGUGCUUUCAUUGAGAGUUCCUCUGUGUCGUCGCCGAUAGAGACCGGAGGGGCCUUGGCCGCCGGUCAGACAAUCCGGCUCGGCGGUUUCCUUAUGACCGCCUGUCCGGCCGUCGCUUCGGCAAUGACUUCUCAAGUCGUCGAAAGCAAUCUUCGAGUCAGCCCUAAAGAUGCCGAACAGUUAGAUCCAAUCGAGCUCUCGUCUGUUAACGAGCUCUUGGAUCGCAUCGCCGCCCUGGGAGUCACAACGGACUACGAUCAGAUCGGGCUUAAAACCGAUCUGAGAGAGAUUAACUCUCCCCAGGCCACCCACCACGUCGAAGUGGUAGAAGAACAACUCGGCAAUUCGUUGCCAUUGUUGAAAACAAUCUGUGUCCGGAUUCCCGAACCCUCCAUGCCGGAUUCCCGCGGAGGGACGGACCCUGAUCGAGCAUUGAACCUAAAAUCAUGCGUCGCCCCGGAGUCGCUGGUCUAUUUCCAGCAAAUCAAGCUUCCAAGUUCGGAAGACCCUUGGCCUUUGAGCCCAAAGAUGGGCAGGGAUCCGGAUUUUAUUCCACCCACCCGCCCAGACAUAUGAGACCUAUCUCUAAUUCGGCAAGAGCCCUCAGAAACAGUACAUCAUUACUGGGCCAGAUUUCUCCUGGUUAUGGGCAGGAUAAAGGACUGCCGAGAGGAAAACGCAAUCUCAAUCUUCUGCAAUAACUGCACGAACAGGGGAAUCCUGAACGCCAUUGAUCGUCGCAAGACUACGCGUUUUACCGAUCUGGCAUCCAUAGUACGAAAGUACUGUGCGAUGGAAAGUUUCCGGAAAACUAAAAAUCAAUUUUGGGAUAGUCCGGCACCAAACCCAGUCCGCGGUAAGAGGGUGCCACACAAUCAGGCCCCAAAUGCAAAAACCAAAAAGCAAAAACCCAGCAAGAGAAACGGAACCGUACUGGAGGGAUGGCUCAAUGGACCCUGUAAACUUCAUAAUACGGGGGGAGCUGUCCCAACACAUAGCCUUCGAGCAUGUUGGAUACUACGGCAGGUGGCCAAAAGUGGCGAAGAGCUUCUAGCUCCGGGAAAUCACUCCAACAAUACCAGCACGGUAUCAACAGUCUUCGAGACUUUCGCAUCAAAUAAUAGGCGAAAACGAACAAUCCGCGAACUCGUCGAAGUCUACCAAGUAGCAACAGCAAAUCCAUGGAGCGACACAGCUAUCACCUUCAGCGCCAGCGACGAGCCCACAUCUCGAACUACCAGAGCCCCAGCCGCACUGGUACUUAGUCCCAUAGUGGACGGCUUUCGACUGACAAAAUUCCUCAUGGACGGCGGCAGCGGACUAAACCUCAUUUAUGAGGAAACCCUGCCGAAAAUGGAAAUCGAUUGGAGCCGUAUUGAGCGAAGCAGCACAACCUUCAGAGGAAUAAUCCCUAGCCGGGAAGCACGCUGCACCGGAAAAAUCACACUCGAUGUGGUGUUCGGCUCUCCGGACAAUUACAGAUCCGAAGAAGUUACGUUCCAGGUGGCCCCGUUCAGCAGCGGAUAUCACGCCAUAUUAGGACGAGAGGCAUUCACAAUUUUUCAAGCAAUACCCCAUUACGGGUACAUGAAGCUCAAAAUGCCUGGGCCCAGCGGAAUAAUCACUCUCGUUAGUGAUACGGACACAGCACUCCGCGCCGAAAAUAAGACAGCCGCACUAGCUCUCGAAGCACUAUCCGAAGCCUUAGCGGCAGAGGAACUAACCACGCUGCGCUCUACAGUAAACAGGGACGAUGUGAUACUUGAUAAAAGAUCCAAGUCCACCUCCUUCAAACCAGCAGAUGAGAUAGUUAAAUUUCAAGUCCACCCAACGGACCCAACAAAGACGGCCUCCAUCGGGGCACAGUUGAACCCCGAAGUUGACGCCGCACUACGCGAUUUCCUUCGGGAAAAUUGGGACAUCUUCGCCUGGCACCCUUCAGACAUGCCCGGCAUCCCUCGCAGGUUGGCAGAGCACAGCCUAAACAUCCUAAAAGGAUUCAAACCAGUCAAACAGGCUCUUCGACGAUUUUUCGAGCCCAAAAGACAGGCAAUGGGAGAAGAGCUAGCCAAGUUAUUGGAAGCCGGAUUCAUCAGAGAUAUCAAACAUCCGGACUGGCUAGCAAAUUUGGUGAUGGUACCAAAGAAGGAUAAAUCCUGGCGCCUCUGCGUCGACUUCAAAGACCUCAAUAAGGCUUGCCCAAAGGAUCCUUUCCCCCUCCCCCGCAUCGAUCAAACUAUCGAUGCCACAGCAGGACACGAUUCAUUGUGCUUCCUGGAUGCAUACUCCGGCUAUCAUCAAAUCAAGAUGGCGGAAGCAGAUCAAGCCGCAACGGCAUUCAUCACUCCAUACGGACCAUUAUGCUUCAACACGAUGCCCUUCGGACUUCAAAACACCGGCGCAACAUAUCAGCGCAUGAUUCAAACAUGUCUGGCCACCUAGAUCGGCAAAACAGUCGAGGCAUAUGUAGACGACGUAGUCGUCAAAACAAAACACGUCGAAAUUUUAGUAGACGAUUUGAGGCUCACAUUCGACAACCUCAGAGCAUAUGACAUUAAGCUGAAUCCGGAAAAAUGUGUUUUCGGCCUACCAGCCGGGAAACUGCUGGGCUUCAUCGUAUCCGGUAGAGGGAUCGAAGCAAAUCCGGCCAAAAUCCGGGCUCUGUCACAGUUGGUAAUCCCAAAGGACCUCAAGCAAAUACAGAAAUUAACAGGAUGCGUGGCAGCCUUAAGCCGUUUUAUCUCCCGUUUAGGAGAAAAGGCGUUGCCCCUUUAUCGCCUCCUAAGGCGCACCGAACACUUCGAGUGGACGGAUGCCGCCACUGCCGGACUCGGAGAAAUAAAGGCCAUAUUGGCAACAAAUCCGGUCCUGGCUGCGCCCACUCAGGGCGAACGGAUGUUGUUAUACAUCGCGGCAACACACCAAGUUGUGAGCGCUGUCCUCGUCGUCGAACGAGCAACAGAAGGGCACAAAUCCCCUCUUCAAAAACCAGUGUAUUAUGUAUCCACUGUGCUAACCCCUUGCAAAUCCCGUUACCCGCACUAUCAAAAGAUAGCAUAUGCGGUGUUCAUGGCGUCUCAGAAGCUUCGGCACUACUUUCAAGAGUGUUCGAUAACAGUGGCUUCUGAAGUACCGCUCAAUGACAUUAUAAAUAACCGCGACGCAACGGGCAGGAUUGCAAAAUGGGACAUUGAGCUCUUGCCAUUCGACAUAACUUACAAACCUCGACGAGCCAUAAAGUCACAAGUUUUGGCUGACUUUGUCGCCGAAUGGACUGAAGCCGAACUACCUAAAGAGUACGGCGCAUACUCCAAUUGGACUAUGCACUUCGACGGCUCCAAAAUGUUGGCCGGACUGGGGGCUGGCGUCGUACUGACGUCCCCCACCGGAGAUACAGUUCAGUAUGUACUUCAGAUAAUGUACACGGACUCCAACAACGCAGCCGAAUACGAGGCCUUGUUACAUGGUCUCCGGAUGGCAGUCUCCAUGGGCAUUCAACGCCUAGAGGUGCGCGGGGAUUCAAACCUUGCAAUAUCCCAAAUAAAUGGAGACUUUGACGCCAAGGAUCCGAAAAUGGCAGCAUAUCGUAAUGCUAUCCUGAAAAUGUCAGCUCGGUUUGAAGGACUCGAAUUCCAUCACAUAGCCCGAGAUAACAACCAAGUGGCCGACAUCCUGGCACGCAUCGGUGCGAAACGUGAGGUUGUCCCUCCAAAUAUCUUCCUGGAACAGCUCUUCAAGCCAUCCGUACUAUGGGAAGAGGAGUCCGGUUGUGACAAACCGGAGAAAGCCGCACCAACUGGUGAUUCAGCAGACAACGUAACACAAUCCGCCCACGACAUAAUGGCGGUAAUCUCCGCAUGGACAGAACCUUUCCUGGCCUACUUACUUAGGCAGGAACUUCCCGAAGACCAAAAUGAGGCCCGCUGCAUAGUCCGGCGAUCUAAGGCCUACAAGGUUCACGAAGGAGAACUUUAUAAGAAAAGUACUACCGGAGUCCUUCAAAGGUGUAUCUCCGAAGAAGAAGGGCGAAACCUCCUGGCUGAAAUCCAUGCCGGAUUAGGUGGACACCACGCAGCAGCCCGGGCCCUGGUUGGAAAGGCAUUCCGUACAGGAUUUUAUUGGCUGACGGCACGGGCAGAUGCAUAGGACUUGGUCCAGCGAUGCGUUGGUUGCCAGCUCUUCGCUAAUCAGAGCCAUAUGCCACCCACCGCCCUCAAAACCAUACCCAUUACCUGGCCGUUCGCGGUCUGGGGGCUUGACAUGGUGGGACCCCUUAAAGGGGGAACCCAUAAGAAAAGGUACCUGUUGGUCAUGGUGGAUAAGUUCACCAAAUGGAUAGAGGCCAAACCGGUCAAAACGGCAGAGUCCGGACCAGUGAUAGACUUUAUAUCAGAGGUGGUACACCGUUACGGAGUCCCCCACAACAUCAUCACGGAUAAUGGCACGAACUUCACAGCCGAUGAAGUGAAGUCAUGGUGCAAAAACAUGGGCAUUAAGCUCGACUAUGCGUCAGUCUAUCACCCUCAAACCAACGGUCAAGUGGAAAGAGCAAACGGUCUAAUAAUGAGCGGCAUUAAACCCAGACUAGUGAGGUCACUCACUAAAUCAGACACCCAAUGGGUCGAGGAGCUCGACUCCGUACUCUGGGGGCUGCGGACGACACCUAACUGUACUACCGGAUUCACACCAUUUUUUAUGGUAUACGGCGCAGAGGCAGUUCUGCCCUGCGACAUUAUUCAUGACUCACCUCGAGUGCGCAUGUAUGAGGAAAGAGAAGCCGAGCUAGAUCGGCAGGACAGCUUGGACACAUUGGAGGAAGAACGGGACGUUGCGAAGGCUCGUUCCGCAUUCUAUCAGCAGCAGGCCCGAAGAUAUCAAAGCAGAGAAGUACGGGCCAAAACCUACAACGUUGGCGAACUAGUUCUACGCCUGCCGGACAAGAAGCAGGACAAGCUCAAGCCCAGAUGGGAAGGCCCCUUCAUUAUUGAUCAGGUACUGACCGGUGGAGCGUACCGUCUACGAAAUGCGUCGGACAACCGACUCGAGCCGAACCCAUGGAACGCAGCCCGACUCCGACGAUUCUAUGCCUAGCGCCGGACUAAGAGUUCGUCCCCUUCCCCCGUCCAACUUUAUAUAUAUUUCGGUUGUCCUCUUUUUCUCUUUUUCUCCUUUUUAAAAUUAACAAAUCCCUUCGGGGCCUAUUUUCGCAUUUCUUGCAUACAUACGAUGUGCCACUCGCACUCGUUAUUCCUGGGGGCUUCUUUUACAGAAGAUCAACUAUAUGGGUUUUAUACCCAACACAUGUGUCAUGCUUCCACAUGUACCUUUUACUCGCCAUUAUAUGCAUCGAUAUGACUUAAGUUUUGGCCAAGCUGGGUUGUCUGGCUCCUGUGCUUACCCCUACGUUCCCGAUUGUUCGGCUAGGUGGUAAAGGGAGCACCUCUGCGAUUGUUACUGCCGGGUCAGCCGGAUGUGUACCUCAGACUGGGUGAAGCCGAAAGCUAGCGUUCUUAAGGGAAUAUUCGGUCGGUGAUUUAAAAGAUGACUUUUUACCUACUUUUUCCAUCUGCCCCUAGAUGUUUUACUGCUUCAUUGGCAGUCCGUACAUGCACUUUAGGGCAUGCCACCCCAGCGAAAGGAACCCUUAACGGAACUAUUCUCCCUGGAAGAUGUUUCUUACUAACCAUGUAAUAUAACAUAACUAGUUGGGCACUUGCCUGAUAAAGCACUAAUGACCCCUACGCCUAGUCUCCAUGCAUACCACGGUUAUCUAUUAACCAAAAAGGUAUUCGGACACACUCCGGACCCUAGGGUCCCGAGGUCGAAGCGAAAAGGUCGGCAACGGCAAACGAUCUACAAUCCGGCGAGAAGGCAUUUCACAUGUCAUUUUUAAAGGAUAUCAUACAUUGUCAAGUUUAUUGAUUGUAUUCCUCCUCAAUCCCGUCUAACAGGCUGUCUAGCUUAUAGUCCCGUUGGGAAAAUUUAGCAGCCAGUUCUACCUGGCUGUACACUAAACUCACAGGGAUCUCCUUCCCGUCGGGCCCCACCGGUCCAACUUCGGCCAUAUGGUUGGGAUCCGCCUUCUUGUACCGCGUCUUCACCAUGGCCCAAGCCUCCCUGGCACCUUGACGGCAGGCCGAAACCUUCCACAAACGGAAGCGCUGCCGCACUCCCUGUAGCUUCUCUGCAAGCUCCCCGAGGCCCUCGGGCGGGGUAAGGGAUGGCCAUAAAGCCUGUACGGCGCCACUCAUUGCCUGCCGAACUCGUUCGAAUAGCUGCAACAGUUCGGGAAGGGGAUCACCCAUCGAUACGGGCAUCUCCUCCGCAGGAUGGCCCGUGAGUAUACCUACAAGACAUGUUAUGUCAAAUCACUUCCUCGCCGAACUCUUCUUCCAUAGAGAGUUCGCUCAAGCACUUACUAUAGAUGCCGCGAUGAAGUCGUUGAUUCUCCUUGACGGAGCCGGACAGCUCGGCCUGUGCGCCUUUAAGCUCUUCCCCGAGCUUGGCGUUGGCAUCUUGGAUUUUGUUCCUUUCCUGCUGAACUCUAUUCAGCACGUUCUCGCCGGCCUUUAGCUGGCGCAGCAGCGCUUGCCUGUCCGGAUCUUGUUCGGCGGCACCUGCAGGGUCUUUAUUAGACUCGCGCGAAUAAUACACAGCGCUUAUAUUCAUUUAUACAAAUAUGUUACUAGGAGGGGUCUUUCCGUCUCCUCCUGCGGCACCAAGUGCGGCCUCAAGUUGGGCCUUGCAAUCUUGCAGCUCUCGGGACAGUUGGGCGUUCUUCUCGUUAAGAGCCUGAAAGUUUACAUGAUCCUUAAAUCAAUUAACAUAACUAAUUUAAGUCGCGGGGGCUACUGGUGUGUGCAACCACUAAAAAUCUCUUACCCGUAUGUCUUUAACAUACUGCUCCGUGGCUCUGGUAAAACCAUUUUGGGCAGCCCAGAGAUGCGCGUCCCCUGCGUUGAAGGCAUCCAAUGCCUCAGGGGAAAAGCAUGCCUCUUGAAAAAUUGUCCGGCGGCGUCUAUGAUUCAUAGCGCUUUCCACCUCUGAUUUUGUGGCGGACAGUCUGUCGGUAUCCUCCGUUGGAGUAGGAUCCGGUUCGCGUCUUGCGCUUGCCGCCCCCUCCAGUCCGGGCGCAGGAGCCCGGCUGGUAUCAGUGGGAUUGGCAAUUCCUGUGCUCGCAGUCCGGCGAGCGCUUUUCCUUCUACAAAGAUCAUGAGCACUUAGAAAGUUUCCUCGGAACGUUGCUCAGAAAGAUCAAACACGAGCUAUACCUCUGCGGCGAUGUUUCCGCCCGCACGGCGCUCCUUUUCCUCCUGCUGGUUCGGCCUGACCUCUGUAGGUCGGCCGCCGAAGGCUCGGCUCCCGGCCGGACUGGCACUUCCUGCAAUACACCAUCGUUCGCGAAAGUCAGAAAUAUGCAAGGAUAAGAUAACGGUGUCCGGACUUCGAUCUUGGUCACCUGGGAUGCCGAACUUAGCCCGGGGUAGUCCGCCAUAAUGGCGACCAACGCAUCAUCAACGCUCAGCUGGUGAUACACCCCGUCGAUUAGCUCCACCCUGAGGUCCGGAUCCUCUUCGGAGGCUGGACCCAGGGAUCCUUCCGGGUCCUCGGGUUGUGGAGCCGGACUCACCAUGUCCUCCACAGUCCGGCGUAGACUCUGCGCCGAAGACGUAAUAUAAGAAGCUUAAACUUCGAAAAUGCGGGUAAAGGCCCUUUUGAGGUGUUCGCUUACCCAUCCUCUGGGAUUGACCAUAGAAAACCCAUUCACAGGGUUCGGACGAAGGAAGUCCUCCUUCUCCCCCUUGAAAAGGCCAGACAGGAUCUUCACCAGAUCCUCGGUCGAAUCCGGGCCUUUGCGGCCGUGCCGGGUGGCAUCGUCCUCCGUGUUGAAAUCCCACAUGGGGUGGCCUCUGUAUUGAAGCGGCUGCACCCCCCGCUUGAUGCACGUUGCCAUGAUUCCAAUCAUGGUCAAGCCAGAAUGAGCCAUUAGUCUUAUUCGGCCCAUCAAGUAAUGGACGCUCUUGUCCUCCUCCAAACGGGGGCUCCGCGGGCGCCAGCUGAGGCGUUUCUUCAAGGGAGCAGCAUCAAACUCCGGGAGGCCAAUCCGGACUGGGUCUGGCAGCGGAGCGUCUAUGAUAUAAAACCACUCCGAGGGCCAGUCUUCGGACGCCCUCUUGGGGGUGCCGGAUAGGUAUCCGGUUCCGGCAGUGCGCCAUAUUUCGGCGCCGCCCACUUGAUAUAUGGACCCCUAGUGAGAACGGGGUACGAGGCAGAAUAGCCUCUUCCACAAUGCGAAAUGGGGCUCGAUGCCCAGGAAUAGCUCGCAAAGAGCUACGUAGCCCGCGAUGUGCAACACGGACGCGGGCGUGAGGUGAUGGAGCUGAAGUCCAUAGAACUUCAGGAGCCCGCGGAGGAACGGAUGUAUUGGAAACCCGAGCCCCCUUAUUAGAUAAGGGACGAAACACACCCGCUCCCCCCUGUUGGGGCUUGCGGUGUCCUCCGCCUGGCUCCCUCCUCGAUAAGUAACCAGUCCGGCUCGGACCGGAACCAUGAAGGCCGGAGGAAGCCAUCCCUCCGCUUGGAGCUUUACUAGCUCGUUGUGCGAAAUAGAGCACCUCCUCCAAUCCCCCGGCGAUGGGCUGGGAGCGCGUGAGGAAGAGCCGCGUUGACGAUCCAUGGUGGAAUGGAUUUCAGGGUCAGAGGCGCUUCGAUGGAGUAUACGCGGGAGGAGGAUGGUGCGGUUUGGAUCUGGAUCCCUGCCCCUUUAAUAGGCAGGCGACCCGCACGACCAGGGGGUAAAAUGUAAAAGAUUCCCUGGCUUUUCGCAUUCAUGCGACGUGUGGAAGAGGGCCAUAAUUUGGCGUAGAAGCCAAGAAGCACAGUAUUCGAGGUACAGCCAGACACUGUUCGGCAGGAACAUGGAAUUCGAAGGGAGAACCCGCCUUGCAACGCCGAAGACUACAAGCACGCCGGACUUAUCGUCAUUGAAGCCUGGUUCGGGGGCUACUGAGGGAGUCCUGGACUAGGGGGUGUCCGGACAGCCGGAUUAUCAAUAUCCGCCGGACUCCCAGACUACGAAGAUAGAAGAUUGAAGACUCCGGCUCGUGUCCGGAAGGUACUUUACUUGGCGUGGAAGGCAAGCUUGGCAAUACGGAUAUGUAGAUCUCCUACCAUUGUAACCGACUCUGUGUAACCCUAGCCUCUCCGGUGUCUAUAUAAACCGGAGGGCCUUAGUCCGUAGGACACAACAUUACAUCUCAACAAUCAUACCAUAGGCUAGCUUCUAGGGUUUAGCCUCAUUGAUCUCGUGGUAGAUCUACUCUUGUACUACCCAUAUCAUCAAUAUUAAUCAAGCAGGACGUAGGGUAUUACCUCCAUCGAGAGGGCCUGAACCUGGGUAAAAACAUUGUGUCCCUCGUCUCCUGUUACCAUCCGCCUAGACGCACAGUUCGGGGCCCCCUACCCGAGAUCCGCCGGUUUUGACACCGAC
rnacentral:lncRNA from 1 species